rnacentral:rRNA from 1 species
UACGUAGGGCGCAAGCGUUGUCCGGAAUUAUUGGGCGUAAAGAGCUCGUAGGCGGCUUGUCACGUCGGGUGUGAAAGCCCGGGGCUUAACCCCGGGUCUGCAUUCGAUACGGGCUGGCUAGAGUGUGGUAGGGGAGAUCGGAAUUCCUGGUGUAGCGGUGAAAUGCGCAGAUAUCAGGAAGAACACCCGUGGCGAAAGCGGCUCUCUGGAACGGUACUGACGCUGAGACGCGAAAGCGUGGGGAGCGAACAGG